AAGGUCUCUGGUAGGGCUGAAGUUUGAAUUUGUAACAAGUUCUCAGGUGAUACAGAUGCCUUAGGACUGGGCCAAACUUUGAGAAUUAUCAUUAAAUCCUUUAUCAAAUGUAUUUGGUAAAUAGUGGAGUAAAGUACCUACUGAAUCAGAAUCUGCAUUUUAAUAAGAUCCCAAAAAUUCUGAUUGAUUUAGUUUGGGGUGAGGCUUGGACAUUGGUACUUAAAAAAUGAUUUUGAUAUGUACCCAAGAGUUGAGAACUGCUGCUUUACUGGUGUAAAAAAUCUCUCUUACAGCCAUGUUCGGGGCAGCACUUAUUACAUAUGUACCAAAAAAAAAGUAUAGUCAUGGUAUGUGGUUUGAGAAACAUUUCAACAGCAAAGAUCUAUAAAUUCAGUUGGGAGAGAGGAAAGAGGUCAUCAUAGAUCCAUUUUUUUCCCCACACAAUCUCAUCCCUAUAGUGUCAUGGAAAAUGGAGUGAUUUCAUUUUACUAUGAAUCCGUUUUACAUAAUAUCUAUUGAAAUAGCAUUAAAGCUUGAUUUUUAAAAUUCUGGUGUCUUAUGGUCUCUAUAUUAGGUAAGAUAUGGAAGAUAUUUUAGAUUUUUUUUUUUAAUGGGAGAAAAGAGACUAUAUUUAGGUAGAGAAAGUAUUGUCAGUCCUAACUUACUCAAACUGGCUUACUUCUGUGUACUUACGUUGUCAUAUUUGCCACAAAUGUGAUUUACAAAAUAAUAGCUAUAUGUUUGUAGGAUUGUAGCUGUAGGAUUCAGCUUUUCAUAAUGGUCAAUCUUUAGCUGAAACUUAUAGAUAUGUAUUUAUAUAUUGAAGAUAAAGAAUUUUUAUCAAGGAUAUAAGUUCAGAAUAUUCAACAAGUAGAGUCGUCUCUUGAUAUCUGCCAGGGAUUGGUUCCAAGACCCCCCUCGAAUACCAAAAUCUGCAGAUGCUCAAGUUCCUAAUAUAAAAUGACAUAGUAUUUGCAUAUAACAUACGCACGUACUCCUGUAUACUUUAAAUCAUCUCUAGAUAACUUAUAAUACCUAAUACAAUGUAAAUGCUAUGUAAAUAGUUGUAAAUAAAAUGUAAAUGCUAUGUAAAUAGUUGCCAAUGCUCUGGCAAAUUCAAGCUUUGCUUUUUGGAACUUUCUGGAAUUUUUCUUCCACGCAUUUUCAGUAUGAAGUUGGUUGAAUCCGUGGAUACAGAAUCCAUGGAUAACAGAGGCCCUGCUGUAGUCAGAAGUCCAAGAUAUGAACAGCUUGAAAUAAUCUGAUCUAGUAAAUGAAUAUAACUGACAAUUACUUAGCCUACUACCCAAGCUAUUUUUAUGAUCGAGAUACCGUUUAUCCAAGUGUUUUGUUAACUGUAAAAUGGUAUAAAUGUAAGCUUUUGAUAAGGUUACUAUUGUUAUGUUCACAGAAGGAAAUAACUUAGAAAAUUAGAAAACAAUAAAAUAUGCUUUUUAUUUAUAUAUCUGUGGUCAAGGUUGGUCAUUUGCUCUAAGACGUAUAUCAAUUUUUUCAAGUUCUUUAAAGUCAUAUGUAUCUUAGAGUAUAGUUGAGUUUUUUAUCAGUGGUGCAGGAUGAGCGAACACUUUUUUUAUAGUCACCUCGUAAUCAAAAUACAAUCUCAAGUUAAUGAGUGACUAACCUUCACGGAACAAAAAACAUUGCUUCAGAUUUUGUUAAUUACUAUAUGAUAAAUUGAUAGAAAUUUAGGGGAGGAUAAUAUCCAUUGUGGCACAGUGGUAGCAAAUCCGACUAGUAUCCAUGAGGAUGCAGGUUCGAUCCCUGGCCUGACUCAGUGGGUUAAGGAUUUGGUGUUGCCUCGAGCUGUGGUGUAGGUUGCAGACACUGCGCGGAUCCCACAUUGCUGUGACCAUGGCAUAGACCAGCAGCUGCAGCUCUGAUUGGGCCACUAGCCUGGGAGCUUCCAUAUGCUGCAGGUGCAGCCCUAAAAAGACAAAUAUCUCUAUCUAUCUAUCUAUCUAUCUAUCUAUCUAUCAAUCAUCUAUCUAUCUAUCUAUCUCUCUCUCUCUCUCUCCAUAUAUAUAUAUGGAGAGAGAGAGAGAGAGAAAGAGAAAGAGAGGAGGAAAAGCCUUGAAGAUUAGGCAGUCUUCCAUUUCAUUUUAAAGUGGUGUAAUUGAGAAGAGAAAAAUUUAGUUGAUUAUCUAUAGAUUUGAGUGACCACUUGAGAAAUAGAGUUCAUGUCUCUGGAUUCUCAUUUCAAACUCUUUAUUCCACAUUACCACUAAAAUUAUCUUCUUGGUUUGCAUGUUAUACCAUGAUCUACCAUUUUCUACGCCCUUAAAAAUUAUGCUAAAAAUGUCUCUCCCUCUCUUCUCUGCCUUCUUCUCCCCUCGAUCCCCUCCUUCUUUCUUUCCUCCUCUCCCUGUCCUUUCCCUCCGCUCCCGUUGCCUCCUCUCUUCUCUAUUUUCCUUUCUCCCCCCUCUUCUGCCCUCUUUUCUUCUCUUUCUCUUCCCCACGAAUAAAAACUGAACUUUCCUGUGGGGGAAACAUACUUAAGGUAAUAGAAUGAUUUGAUUUAUGUAUAAAUUGUAACAUGAUUACUAAAAUCAAAUUAUUACAUCCAUCACCUCACAUAGUUGUGUGUGUGUGUGUGUGUGUGUGUGUGUUUGUGUGUGGUGAGAACACCCAAAGUCUACUCUCCAAACAAACUUCAGAUACACAACCCAGCAUUAUUAAUGUCACCAUGCUCUCCUUUAGAUCCUCAGAACUUAUCUUAUAACUGAAAGUUUGUACCUUUUGACUAAAUCUCCACACUUAGGCUGCUCCCUCAACCCCCUGAUAGUCACCAUUCUACUUUAUUCCUCUAAGUUAUUUUUUUUUGGGGGAUUCUGUUUAUAAGUGAGAUAAUACAGAAUUUGGCUUGCUCUGUCUAGCUUCUUUCACUUAGCAUAAUGUCUUCUGGGUUCAUGCAUAUUGUCACAGAUGGCAGGAUUUUCUUCUUUUUUCAUAGAUGAAUAAUGUUCCAUCAUAUGUGUGUAGAUACAAAUCUCACAUUUUAUUUGUCCAUUCAUAGAUCAGUGAAUGCUUAGAUUAUUUCUAUGUCUUGAAUAUUUUCAAUAAUGCUGCAGAGUACAGGAGUGCAGAUAGCUCUUUGAGAUACUGAUUCUGUUUCCUUUAGGUAUAUACCCAGAAGGGGGAUUACUACAGUAUAUGCAUACCUCAGUGUAUCAUUUACUACACUUAAACAUUAUAUUCACUUGUAUCUUGUUUCAGAUGUACUAUAAGCUUGUCAAAGGCAGGUAUCUCAACUACUUUACCUUUUUAUUCCAGAAUUUAGCUUGGUACCUAUAGGUAUUCAGAUUUAUAUUUGUUCACUGACUUGAACAGAGAGGGAGUCUCAUGCUAUAAAUCAAGCAGAGCCAAAUUGGUGUAUAAACGAAGAAACAAAUUAAUUAGAAGGAGACAUAGAUGAAGCAAGGUAUGCUAGUGGUUAAAUCAAUCACCUUUUUCAGUCUUCCAGAAAAAGUCAAAUAGGGUUUUUUUGUUUGUUUGUUUUUCUGUUUUUUUGCUAUUUCUUUGGGCCACUCCCGCGGCAUAUGGAGGUUCCCCGGCUAGGGGUCUAAUCGGAGCUGUAGCCAUUGGCCUACGCCAGAGUCACAGCAACACGGGAUCCGAGCCAUGUCUGCAACCUACACCACAGCUCACGGCAACGCCGGAUCCUUAACCCACUGAGCAAGGGACCGAACACCGAACCCGCAACCUCAUGGUUCCUAGUCAGAUUCGUUAACCACUGCGCCACGAUGGGAACUCCAAAUAGGGUUGUUUUAGAAGUAUCCCAAAGCUUUGGUUACAGGAACCCAGACAAAGUAUGUUUCUUCCUCUGAGAUUAGCAGCAUCUUAUAGAACUGAGAGUCACUCAGUGCUCCUGAGGGGAGAUGUGAAGAGCUCAGCCUCGCAGGUGGCUGUAAGAGAAGGAAGGGCGAUACCCUCACAGAGCUGCUGAGGCUUUCUUCCUUUAUGGUGGCUGUGGACUUGCAGGGACCAAGUUGGGGAUUGGGGAACAGGAUUGUUGUACAGCGGGUGUAUUCAUCUCAUCUCUUUUAAUUUCUUGUGAAAUGAGACAAGAGGAAGAUCACUCACUCUCAUUUGACUCAAAGUAAUUAUUUCUACUGAACAAUGAUGUCUACCUGAGUUUUACAGUGUAGGGUUCAUCAUUCCUGGAGAAAUUCCAGCUCGAACGUACAGUGAGCUUUGUAAUAAUCCCCAUUUCUCAUUAGUACAUCUUGCCAUAAUGCAUAAGGGCAUUAUUUGUAUUACGUCGAAGGAAAAAUGCAACCCAGCUUAUCAUACAAUAAUACAUUAGUGGAGUUCCCAUUGUGGCUCAGCGGUUAAUGAACCUGACUAGCAUCUGUGAGAAUGCAGGUUUGAUCCCUGGCUUCAUUUAGUGGGUUGGGGAUCCUGUGUUGCUGUGAGCUGCAGGAUAGGACACAGAUGCGGCUUGGAUCUCUUGUUGCUGUGGCUGUGGUGGAGGCCGGCAGCAGAAGCUCUGAUUCGACCUCUAGCCUGGGAACCUCCAUAUGCCACGGGUGCAGCCCUAAAAAGACAAAAAAAAAUGCAUUAGUAUUUAUUCCAUUAUAAUUUUUGAUGAUGCAUUACUGUACUGAAUGUUUAUAUUUUGAAAUUAUCUGGUUAAUAAUAUGCUUUCUAAAGUUGUGCUUUAAUCAUGCUACUAUUUGCCACACUACCUACUAGGAACAAAAAAUAACAAUGAAAAUGAUGCAGUUCAACACUAAGUCAUGAAUAGCCAGAGGAAAACCCUGAUUGGAAAAAAUAAUCUGUUUCCUUAUUUCUAAUAUUUGUGCUUCUUCAGUCACAUCUCAUUUGAGCAUAUGUAUAUCUGGAUGUUUGUUUUAUCGGGUUUGAACCACUUAUGGCUGCCAGUUUAUGGCUAAUCUUCAUCUUGAGAUAAUCAAAGAUUGCUGUCAUCUUUUGUGCAUUCAUGAUACAAUUGCAUGAGCAUAUCUCAGGAUAAGUAUUUUCUAUUACUGAAAAUUAACUUAGGAGACAAAUGGAUUUUUUAAAAUUUAUUAUUUUUAUUAACAAGAUUUAGGCUAUUUUUUUAUUUCUCCAAUACAUUAUUUAUUCUAGAAUUGAUGGUGAUGAAACUUCUUACCACUUGGAAAUUUUGUAAGGUUUAUUAGGCUUAGAAAAAAGUACUGAGUAAUUUUAUUUCGGCCUUUACAUCAAAAUACCAUUUAGUGCUCCAAGUCUCUCUUUCACACGUUCUUGUCAGUCUGCAAACCCCUUCAGUUAUUAAGAGGACUUCCCAGUAUCACCUUUUCUACCUGUACUUCCAUUCAUUCAUUCAUUGUUUCUUUCAUUACAAACAUUUACUGAACACCUGCUAUUGUCAGACAUUGAAGUAGGUGCUAGGAUUACAAUGAUAAACCAAAUGGAUGAAUAAAACAUCAAGAUAUCAAAUGAUACAAUGAAAAUAAAAGGAUGUGACAAAGUGUGACUAGGGUCUUGUUUGGACUGGAUAGUUGGGGAAGGAAUCUUUGAGGAGAUGACAUGUAAGUGGAAAUGUGAUUGACAAGUAAUUAGAUACGGGAGACUUGGGUGGAACAGCAUUCCAAGCAGAAGAAAGACAGUGCUAGGGCUAUAAGGUGGAAAUUAAACUGGGGGUAUUCAAGGAAGAGAUUAAAGGCAAGCUAGGGCUGGAGUAUAGGACCAAGUGGAAGAUGGGAAAGAGAUGGGUUUGAUGAAGGAGACAGGGACCCCUUCACAUGAAACCUGUUAGGCAGGGUGGGGCAUCUAGUUAUUAUUCUGAAGGCUAUGAGAAAGCACAGAGGGCUUCACUCAGCAGGGCCACUAGGAUCUGAUCUGCACUUAGAACACUGCUGUCUUUGUGGAGACGAAAUGCAAGUCUGGAGAGCAGCUGGGAGGCUAUCACCUCAGCCCAGGUGAGAGAUGAUGCAGUCUUCAGCUUGGGCAGCUGAUGCCCAAGGAAAUGGUAAGGAGUGGAUGGAAUUGCUAUAUGUUUUAAAGACAGAUUCAGUGGGGCUUGUUGGUUGAUUUGAUGGGAUGAAGGGUAAAAGGAAGAGAGGAAUCAAGGAUGAUCACGUUAAAUAACAUUAUAAAUCAGCAAAAAUAUUCCCAACUUUCCAAAAAGAAUGGGAAACAGCUGCGCUUGCUGAAAUUCCAAUGAAGCGAUUAGAUAACAUGAGGUGCAUGCAUUUCAUUUUGGACAUGAAUGCCCAGAAGGCUGGUCUGUCAUCUGUGGUGGAGGACCCCCAAAUGAUGCUUUGAGCAGCACAGCCAAUUGUAAAAGCAGACAGGGCCCAAAUGGAUUUUUUUUUAUUUCUUUUUGACCUAUCCUGUGUAUCUUUUGUGGCUCUAAUCUGAUGAACAAAUAUCUAUAAGGAACUGCUUAAAGUCUAUAGGGUAUCACUAGAAUAGAGAAACUUCUAGAUUGACCAUCAAGAGGCUUAGACCUUAGUUCCACAAAAACUAUUGUCUGUAUAAAGUGGAGAAUUAGCUUCCGUAGUUUCAAGUCUGAAAUGGGUAUAAUUCCUACUUGCCUCUUAAAUAAACAUGUUGGUGUGGUAAAGUGACAUUUUGUUUUUGAAUAUGAUUGAGUACAUCACAAGAAAUGAAUGAUGCUAUAAAAGGGAUGAUAUAUUCAAAUUAAAAAAAAAAAAAGGAAUUCCCAUUGUGGUGCAGCAGAAACAAAUCUGAUUAGUAACCAUGAGGUUGCAGGUUUGAUCCCUGGCCUUGCUCAGUGGGUUAAGGAUCCUGUGUUGCCGGGAGCUGUGGCGUAGGUCACAGAUGUGGCUUAGAUCCUGCAUUGUUAUGGCUGUGGCGUAGGCCCCUACACAACUGUAGCUCUGAUUCGACCCCUAGCCUGGAAUAUCCAUAUGCCACAGGUGUGGCC
rnacentral:lncRNA from 1 species